CCGUGAAGCUGGAUUCGCUAGUAAUCGCGCAUCAGCCAUGGCGCGGUGAAUACGCUCCCGGGCCUUGUACACACCGCCCGUCAAGCCAUGGGAGCCGGGGGUGCUUGAAGUGCGUCGCCGCAAGGCGCGCCCUAGAGCAAAACCGGUGACUGGGGCUAAGUCGUAACAAGGUAAC
rnacentral:rRNA from 1 species